rnacentral:rRNA from 1 species
CCCCUAGAUGUUCUGGGCCGCACGUGCGCUACACUGAACAGUUCAACAAGUCUUAACCUUGGCCGAUAGGUCUGGGUAAUCUUUGAACGCUGUUCGUGAUUGGGAUAGACCUUUGCAAUUAUGGGUCUUCAACGAGGAAUUCCUAGUAAACGCAAGUCAUCAGCUUGCAUUGAUUACGUCCCCGCCCUUUGUACACACCGCCCGUCGCACCUACCGAUUGAAUGGUCCGGUGAAAUCUCGGGACGGCGGCUUGGUCGCUUGCGUCCGACUGCUGAAACUUGAUUAAACCAUAUCAUUUAGAGGAAGGUGAAGUCGUAACA